CCAGACUCCUACGGGAGGCAGCAGUGAGGAAUAUUGGUCAAUGGCCGAGAGGCUGAACCAGCCAAGUCGCGUGAGGGAAGACGGCCCUACGGGUUGUAAACCUCUUUUGUCAGGGAGCAAUUGGCGCUACGUGUAGCGUUAUCGAGAGUACCUGAAGAAAAAGCAUCGGCUAACUCCGUGCCAGCAGCCGCGGUAAUACGGAGGAUGCGAGCGUUAUCCGGAUUUAUUGGGUUUAAAGGGUGCGUAGGCGGAAUGUCAAGUCAGCGGUAAAAUUUCGGGGCUCAACCCCGUCGUGCCGUUGAAACUGGCGUUCUUGAGUGAGCGAGAAGUAUGCGGAAUGCGUGGUGUAGCGGUGAAAUGCAUAGAUAUCACGCAGAACUCCGAUUGCGAAGGCAGCAUACCGGCGCUCAACUGACGCUCAUGCACGAAAGCGUGGGUAUCGAACAGGAUUAGAUACCCGAGUA
rnacentral:rRNA from 1 species